UGAUUGGUUGUUAUAGCAGUGUGGAAACACCUGUUCCCAUCCCGAACACAGAAGUUAAGCACACGUGCGCUGAUGGUACUGCAUGGGAGACUGUGUGGAAGAGUAGGUCGCAGCCAAUCAC
rnacentral:rRNA from 21 species